AGCUUUGAGCAGUGGCACUAUUGUAGCCAAUGAGGUUUAUUUGAGAUGUAAUUAUUGCUAGUUGAAAACUUUUUCCAAUAUCCCACCAUGACAACUUGAAAUAUAGUUGGCAUUGGCAACUUUUUUUUUUUUUUUUUUUUGAGA